rnacentral:rRNA from 1 species
UACAGAGGGUGCGAGCGUUAAUCGGAAUUACUGGGCGUAAAGGGUGCGUAGGUGGUUUAUUAAGUGAGGUGUGAAAGUCCUGGGCUUAACCUGGGAAAGUCAUCUCAUACUGGUUGACUAGAGUAGGAUAGAGGGAGGUGGAAUUUCCGGCGUAGCGGUGAAAUGCGUAGAUAUCGGAAAGAACACCAGUGGCGAAGGCGGCCUCCUGGAUCCAUACUGACACUGAAGCACGAAAGCGUGGGUAGCAAACAGG